AUAUAUUUUAACAUAUAUGUGAUAGUAAUCUCACAAUAACUAAUGUGAAUGCAAAAUUUGGUGGAUCCACGCAUGACUCACAUAUAUGGUCAUCCAGUAUUGUUGAGUCAUAUAUGCGUGAACUUCAUGAAAAUAAUGAACAAGCAUGGUUAUUAGGUGAUUCUGGCUAUCCUCUACGUCCAUGGCUAAUGACUCCUAUCCUCAAUGCGGCCCAAGGUUCAAGAGAAGAAAAUUAUACCCAAAGACAUGUGCAAGCCAGAAACUGUAUAGAGCGGUGUUUCGGAUUAUUGAAAGCCCGCUGGCGAUACCUUCUUAAGGACAGGGUUUUACAUUAUGACCCAUUUGUGGCAAGCAAAAUAACCAUGGCUUGUUGUGUAUUACACAAUUUAAUCUUAAAGGCUGGAAUUCCUCAAGACCUCUCUGCAGUACAUGAUGAUGGGGAUCAUUUUUCGCCACUAGAUCCAGCAUCUACUGCUUCUGUAGGCAGCCAAAGCCAUAAUGAGUUACUGCAAGGGAGAGCUGUACUCAAUUGUUUGUUAAGCAGGAUUUGAUAAUUUUUGACAAUUUUUCUCAUUAUUUUUAGUAAAUUAUAUAAAUAACAAAACCUGUAUUUUAUUGCUGUCUUCUUUAUUUAUUUUUUACAACUUACAGCUGUGUGAGACAUAUUAGGCAGUAGUACGGUAAAGAUAAAGAAAAAAAAAAUUGUACAAGUAAUGUAAUAUUUAGGCUA